rnacentral:RNase_P_RNA from 1 species
UUAGGUAAACGCUAUAUUAUUUAAUGUAGAGGAAAGUCCAUGCUCACAGAACCUGUGAUGGUUCUAGUGUUCGCGCUAGAGGAAAAAAUAACUCUAGGUAGUAGAAAUACUAACGGCGACGAAUUAACCUAAGUCUUUGAUAUGGUUAUAGUAGUCAUAAAGUGUCAUAGUGACGAAGAAAUUGGAAACGAUGGAUGUGGAACGUGAUAAACCCCACGAGUGAGAAACCCAAAUUUUGGUAGGGGAGCUUUAAUUUCAGGAAAAGAACUGAAUUAGGGACUAGUUAACUAGUAGAUAAAUGUUUACCACCUUUAAAAAGGUACAGAACAUGGCUUAUU